rnacentral:rRNA from 1 species
GAUGAACGCUGGCGGCGUGCCUAAUACAUGCAAGUCGAGCGAACAGACGAGGAGCUUGCUCCUCUGACGUUAGCGGCGGACGGGUGAGUAACACGUGGAUAACCUACCUAUAAGACUGGGAUAACUUCGGGAAACCGGAGCUAAUACCGGAUAAUAUAUUGAACCGCAUGGUUCAAUAGUGAAAGACGGUUUUGCUGUCACUUAUAGAUGGAUCCGCGCCGCAUUAGCUAGUUGGUAAGGUAACGGCUUACCAAGGCAACGAUGCGUAGCCGACCUGAGAGGGGGACCGGCCCCACGGAACAUGAGACACGGCCAGACUCCUACGGGAGGCAGCAGUAGGGAAUCUUCCGCAAUGGGCGAAAGCUUGACGGAGCAACGCCGCGUGAGUGAUGAAGGUCUUCGGAUCGUAAAACUCUGUUAUUAGGGAAGAACAAAUGUGUAAGUAACUAUGCACGUCUUGACGGUACCUAAUCAGAAAGCCACGGCUAACUACGUG